UUUAUGUUAGUUUCAGUACAUUUCCACAGCUAAUUGGUUAUUCAUUUAUCGAAUUAGCGUAACAAAUUCAAGUUUCAAACUCGAUGACUCUCUUACUUCAUAUAGCACUUGGAUCUCCCACGUACACUCUCCAUUCGAAUACCUAUAGCAAAAUGAAGAUUAGUUGACAUGAAAUUUUCAGAAUAUUUAAUAGGUUCAUACUAAUUUGUAUGUACCGAUCUAUAUUUCAAUGUUCGUUAUUCCCAUGUCAAGGGUUUGCACCAUUGUUGUCUAGCAAAUAUGGAACAUAGUAGGGCAUUGCAUGACAUACUGUACACCAUUUUCAAGCACACCUCAAGCACAAUCGUACCAUACUUUCCUGUUGCACCAUCACCAAGUAAUUUUGUAUUAUCAAUAACAUUAUCAUCAUUGGACUCCACCAACAUAACAGUUUCGAUGUCGUCAAAAAAAAUUUUCCCUACGACCAAAAAGUCGAUUAAACUGUUAUUUAUAGCCCUUUUCCAGUGAACUACUUUACAAUUGAUGAAACAUAUUCAGUUACAGUCAUUUAUAACAUUUACAAAAUCAGCUUCUUACGAGUGUUUCCUAGAAGAGCAGCUUCCAUGCAAUCAAGAAAUUUUGCAUUUCGUUUAUGCAUUUAUUCUGCACUACUAGAUCAAACAGUGGUGGUAAUAGUCAUCAUUCUUCCACAAAUUCUUCCAAAAAUUAACAAAAAGUCCUGCCUAAAUCGUACUGCUCAGUAUAAUUUUUUGGUUAAAAAAUAAAUUUCAGAUUUUACCUUAAAAUUAAAUUUCAGAUUUUAAAACAUAUUUUCAGAUUUUAAAAUAAAUUCCAGAUUUUAAAACAAACUUCAUACUUUAAAAUGAAUUUCAGAUUUUACAAUAAACUUUAGAUUUUACAAUAAAAUUUAAUGUUUUACCUUUUUUCGUCAUCGAUGAAAGCAAAGGUCAACAGAUGGUCGGAGAUAUCGACGGUGUGGCGAUAGCCAUAUCGGAGUCGGCCAAAUGAACGAAGACUUCGAAGGUGCUUAGAGAUGUCGGAGUUGUACGCGUCGGAGGUGGCCAGAGGUCGACGUAUGUAUGAGGAGUGUAAGUGAAAAUGUGCAGAUGAAAAUGGAGAAAAAGGGGGGGGAU
rnacentral:lncRNA from 1 species